CAAAAACCCCGGGCUAAAUACCUUCCCAACCAGCCCCGGUAAUUCGUUAGGGGCCAACCUUUAUCCCGAAAUUAUGGGCUUAAGAGCCCGCCCAGGUGGUUUUUUUAAUUUUUAAUGUGAAAAGCCCCCGGUUCACCGGUGGGAGGGCCAUUGGAAACUGGGAGAACUUAAUCCAGAAGAGGAAAGGGAAUUUCCAGGGUACCGGGAAUUGGUAGAAAUAUGGAGGACCCCCCAGGGGGGAAGGGGCCUUUUUGUUCGUUAUUACCAUUGAGGCGGGAAACCGUGGGGAGCAACCAGGAUUAAAUACCUUGGUAGUCCCCCCGGUAAACGAUGAGUGUUAAGUGUUAGGGGGUUUCCGCCCUUUAGUGUUGAAGUUAAGGCAUUAAGCCCUCCGCCUGGGGAGUCCGCCCCCAAGCCUGAACUUCAAAGGAAUUGCCGGGGGCCCCCCCAACCGGUGGACCAUGGGGUUUAAUUGGAAGCAACGCGAAGACCCUUACCAGGUCUGGCCAUCCUCUGCCAACCUUAGAGAUAGGGUUUUUCCUUGGGGAGCAGAGUGACAGGGGGGGCUUGGUUGUCGUCAGUUGGUUUCGUGAGAUGUUGGGUUAAGUCCCCCAACGAGCCCAACCCUUGUUCUUAGUUGCCAUCAUUAAGUUGGCCCCUUUAAGGUGCCUCCCGGUGCCAACCCGGAGGAAGGUGGGGAGGACGUCAAAUCUUCAUGCCCCUUAUGCCCUGGCUUACCCCCGUGUUCCAAUGGCGGGUCCAAAGAGCUGCAAGCCCGCGAGGUGGAGUUAUUUUCAUAAACCCGUUUUCAGUUCGGUUUGUAGGCUGCAAUUCCCUUACAUGAAGCUGGAAUCGUUAGUAAUCGCGGAUCACCAUGCCCCGGUGAAUCCGUUCCCGGCCCUUGUCCCCCCCCCCCUUCCCGCCCCGUGAGUUUGUACCACCCGAAGUCGGUGGGGUACCCUUUGUAGCCAAGCCCGCCCUUAAAU
rnacentral:rRNA from 1 species